AAAAGAAUAAAUUUCAAAGCUAAGGUUAAUAAGGCCAAGACAAAAGUAACUUUAAGCGAAAAACUACUUUUACAUUCUAAAGAUCUGAAUAAAAUUGUUUCUGUGUUUGAAGUCAUAAAUGACACAAAACAAACUUUCAAAGUAAAAGAGAAAUGAAAUAGAUAUGGCACAAAAUUAAAUAUCACGCCAGCCGAUAAAAAAAAGCAAAGUUAUUUAAAUAAUAACAACAAGUAAAAUUAAUAAAAGGUUUUAUCAAAAUUAUAUGGCAUUGUAUAAAGUACCUGCGCGUGUAAGUGCAAUCAUCUGAAAAUUUUUAUGUGUGUCUGUCUAUCACGUGUUAUUGCGUGCUACAGACAUAAAUGCUAAGCAAGAGUUGCAUCAUAUUAAGUAUUCUUAAAAAUCACAGCUGCAAAUGGCUUCUAAAACUCAAAACAUUUUUUAAUAUAGUAGAUCUGAGUUCUAUAAAUCAUACCAAAUAGUCAAGUGCCACUUCGAAUUAUAAAUUUCAUAACUAUAAGAGUUAACACAAACUUUUACGUAUAAUUAUUCGAAUCUAUUUGUAACAUCGCAACGCUAACUGCAAAUAAACAUAUUCUUUCAUGAUCAAUGACUUCAUAGUUUACUGAAAUUACACACUUCGUUUGUUAUGCCACAUGUUUGGGCAAUACAUUCAUUAAAACUAUUAAAUUAAAUUAAAAGUUGUACGAUGAUUGAGGCAGAAACAGUUUUAUUACAAAAAUUUCUCUUACAUCGAAAGUAAGCGGCGGCAACAACAUGUGCAUUGGUAACACCCUCAAUCUACAAGUUACGUUCACUAAGCCACCGGAAGAAGCCAUCAUAAUAAGUCAGCAACUGAUUAAACGAAAAGUGUUUGUGUUUAUAGGAAAGUAGCUUGAGACUCAUCGGAUUCAACUUCGGGUUAUCUCAUAAAAAAUCAUGAGCCGUUGGAGACAAUAGGCAGGGCAGGAUAUAAAGUGGCCCUGGGCGUAAGAUUCACCCGUCCGCCUUCAAAUUUUUCAGCACACUUGCGCGAAGCCGAAGGACAAUUAAGGUGCAGAUUGAAUAGUCAGACUUUCACAUUUAAAGUAGUGUAGUGUUACACAAACGUGGAGGCGAAAAGCAAAAAAUGUUAAUAUGGCGUUUACAGAUAUAUAUACGCAAAAGAAAAUCUUAUGCAAUUCUACUACAAAAAUCAAAGGAAAAUGUGGGAAUAAUGUUGCAAACAUUGUAAAAAGGCAACACUUGACACUCGCCUAAAAUUAAACAAACGGUAGCAACCUAAAUAUUUUCAAAACAAAAAAAACAAGCUUACAAAAGAUUUGGAAGGACAAGGAAUUGGAAAUAAAAUCUCCGGCGAUCAACAUUCUACUCUGGUGGAAGCGCAUUGUUUUAAAACAACGUUAAAAGUACUGACGAAUUUAACAUCUAAAAAGCAUCCCGGAAAUCAUAAAAGUUGCGCUACUCCGCUUGAUAUGGGGCAAUAUGCUGAAAUUGCAAUUAGACGCACUAAGAAGAAUAUGAAUACAGAAGCUUCCGCUACAAUAGAGCGGAAUAUGUUACACAUAUACAAAUACUUUACACUCACGUAUCGUCAAAUCGAUGUACGCAAUUUUCCAAAUGAACAUAGCGAUAAAUGAAAAUAGAUUAAGAAUAUUUAAUCGUACGGCCGUAGGAUAUAAAGAAAAGUGAUAUUAAGAUUUUUUGUUCCGUUUAACCGAUAUGGCUUGUCAGAAUGGUGCCGGAUUAAUCGAGCAAUAAAAUACAGUCACCCUCGCUACUUUAUUAUACAAGUAUUUCAAAUCAACAUGUUCUGCUGGAAAUCAAACAAAGUGUUAUCUGUUUAUUUUAACAUUUCUUUUUUAUUUGAAUUUGUAUAAAUUAAUAAGUAAAUAAAAAAAAUAUAAACAAAGUUUUUGUAAAAAUGUAAAAAUAUUAAGUAUUAUUUCUUUAUGUAAUUAGUUACUAGUUAUUUACCUACUAAUAUAAAUUUAUUAGUGGCAUUGCAAAAUUCUAAGAAUAUCGAGACAAAAAAAGAAAAAGAUUUAAUGUUACCGGAUGGAAUAGAGAAUAAUAUGUAUA